AACGAACGCUGGCGGCAGGCUUAACACAUGCAAGUCGAACGCCCCGCAAGGGGAGUGGCAGACGGGUGAGUAACGCGUGGGAAUCUACCUAGUUCUACGGAACAACAGUUGGAAACGACUGCUAAUACCGUAUACGCCCUAUGGGGGAAAGAUUUAUCGGAAUUAGAUGAGCCCGCGUAAGAUUAGCUAGUUGGUGGGGUAAUGGCCUACCAAGGCGACGAUCUUUAGCUGGUCUGAGAGGAUGAUCAGCCACACUGGGACUGAGACACGGCCCAGACUCCUACGGGAGGCAGCAGUGGGGAAUAUUGGACAAUGGGCGCAAGCCUGAUCCAGCCAUGCCGCGUGAGUGAUGAAGGCCUUAGGGUUGUAAAGCUCUUUCACCGAUGAAGAUAAUGACGGUAGUCGGAGAAGAAGCCCCGGCUAACUUCGUGCCAGCCGCCGCAGUAAUAC
rnacentral:rRNA from 1 species